rnacentral:rRNA from 1 species
CCUUCGGGAACUCUGACACAGGUGCUGCAUGGCUGUCGUCAGCUCGUGUCGUGAGGAUGUUGGGUUAAGUCCCGUAACGAGCGCAACCCUUGUCCUUAGUUACCAGCACGUUAUGGUGGGCACUCUAAGGAGACUGCCGGUGGACAAACCGGAGGAAGGUGGGGAUGACGUCAAGUCAUCAUGGCCCUUACGGCCUGGGCUACACACGUGCUACAAUGGUCGGUACAAAGGGUUGCCAAGCCGCGAGGUGGAGCUAAUCCCAUAAAACCGAUCGUAGUCCGGAUCGCAGUCUGCAACUCGACUGCGUGAAGUCGGAAUCGCUAGUAAUCGUGAAUCAGAAUGUCACGGUGAAUACGUUCCCCGGGCCUU